GGUAUGGUGGCCGAGUUAGGCGGCGAGUUGUAGCCUCGCCCACCGGGGAGAGCCCCGCUAUACCAGGUC
rnacentral:tRNA from 1 species